ACCUUUCCAAAGAGCUAAUGGUGGUUUUUUUUGUUUUUUGGUUUUUUUUUUUUUUUUACUUUAAGGCUGAGUUUAUUUGGGUAGCUUCGGAGGGACUGAGGGAGGCCAUUUGAUGAGUUCUGCUUGAAUUGCUCAGUAGCUCAGGCGCUGCUCAGUACAGCCUACUGCUGCAAUGCUGGCAGGGGGUGACCUCUGUGUCCCAAGAGGAUUCCUUGCUGCUAGAAUCUAGGAGGACUUGGGAGGGGGGACCCCUCCCCCUGCUCUAGUAACACUGUUGCAACAGUAACACUGAAUACUUUCCACCUGGCAGGAGUGGUGCUGAGCGCUCUUACAUUCAUUUUUUCCUUUGAACUGGUGUAAACCUGACCCUCCCCUGUGCAGAGUAGGCAGAGGCUCACCUUGGAACAAGGCGCUGUCAAACAGUCCAGGCUUGGAAUCUCGUGCUCUCCAAGCCUUGGAAUUCUUGCCCAUGGAAUGAGAUCUAGUCACCCAACUGUGAAACAAAAGGAGUGGUGGGCUGUGGGGGUCUGGGACAGCUUCCUUCAAACACGCUUUUCCAUAGUGAAGGGAAGUAAUGAGGGGAGCCUUGGGGCAUGCUGGGAAGCCGAGAAAGGUGAAAAGGACUGCAAUGAGUCUUGCAGAGUCAAGAGUGAGAAAACAAACAAACAAACAAACUUCCAAACCAAAAAAAAAAAAAAAACCGCUGUCCUUUCCAAGUCAGAGGAAAAGCCAGGCGAGCAACACGGUGGGAAGGGCAGAGGGCAGUGCAGCUGUGGUCUGAGUGGGUAUGUAAGUCACUGUGAGGAAUUUGGAUCAGCGGGCACUGUAUCAGGGCCGAUGAGGAUCUGCCCACCGCACACCUCUUGGAAGGAUGUGGCUGUUUGAUUUGGGACUGUGGAAAGUCGCGCCAUUGUGAAGUAAAUGAUACAGAGAAGCAGGUGAUGUGGUCUCAGGGUUUGGCUUCAUCCCCUGGCAGGUGAGAGAAAAAGACAGGAGAGGGACACUAUGGAGGUCCCUUUCAAGUCUUCUGAGCAGAGACACCUGAGCCCAUGACAGACUGGAACAUAGGCUCAUUCCUGAGCACACAGGGAAUGUUACUCUGUGGGAAAGGUGACUCAGUAGUUCACGAGAAGGGCCCACAGAAACAGGCAAGCUGCCAUUCUUGUGCACCAGGGAGGAGAGAUAGUUAUCCCAGAGACCCAGUAGGGGCGUCAGAGUGACAUGAAAGGAACUUGAUGUGGAAAAGCCAAAAGGAACAUUCUAGAAGGAGUAUAUGACCAGCAGCAUGUGUUGCUGUGAGUGGGAGUGGAGACAACCCUUGUCUUGGGCUGCUGCAGGGACUCAGGGUCAGGAAGGAGCAAUGAGUCCAGCUUAGAUCGUCUGGCAGUGACUGUCCACAGAUGUGAUCUUUGGUAGACUCCUUAGGCUCUCAGGGCCUCAGCAAGGAGUGGCUGGUACCCUUCAGGCUGGUGAGUUAAGCAGGGUGGAGAGACUGUCUAGGAAAGACACCCCCUCCUGCUGUACUCACAGACUAAUAUCGGAGGGAAGACCUUACUCAUCACCAUUGAGGAGACUAUGAGAAAAGCCUUUAUAUGCCCAGGCUAACUGAAGAGAACCCUGGACCUGAAGCUGCAGGGCGGGGGGGGGGGGGGGGGCGGGGGACGGACCUCAGACAACUGUGGGCCCUCAACAGACCCCUGAGUCCCUCCUUGCAGUUUGUCAGAAAGGAGCCCAAGCAAUAGAUGCUAUCUCUAAUCUCCUCUUGUUUCCAAUUUUGCUGGUCCUGGCAGUGCAGUAGUAUGACCACCUAAUAUACUGCAGGGAAGUGGAGCAGAUCUGCAGGGUAAACUGAGGCAGCUGAGCACACUCGGCCACCAUGCUCUACUGCCUUUUCCAGCCUUCUUGACAGCCAUCCAUAGCCGCCAUCUUUGUAGAAGACAAUUCUGUAAGGCCAAGGAGACCAUGGCCAUUCCAGACCAUUAAGGCAGGUCUUCCCCAGCUGUCGUCCCUCCCCUGGUGUGUGCUGUCAGAGCUGUCUUUUAUUUAUUUUGUGUGUAUAUGUCUGUGUAGUUCUGUAUAUGGGAGGGGGACUUGUGCACAUGUGGGGGGUUUGUGUGUAUUCACUUGCUAGUGGAGACCAGAGAUCAACUUCAGAUUUUUAUUUUUGUUUAGAAAUACUUCUUUUGCUGGGCGUGGUGGUGCACCCUUUUAAUCCCAGCACUCGGGAGGCAGAGGCAGGCAGAUUUCUGAGUUGGAGGCCAGCCUGGUCUACAGAGUGAGUUCCAGGACAGCAAGGGCUAUUCAGAGAAACCCUGUCUCGAAAAAACCAAAGGGGGAAAAAGAAAGAAAGAAAGAAAG
rnacentral:lncRNA from 1 species